AGGACGGCUAUUCUGUAUUUCAUCAAGGAUCUGCUCAGUUCUAACACCCGGAGCUGCUCAGCCUGGGAUGUGGUGGGGCACAUCUUCAGGGAGUUCAGCCGCGCCACAGGAGGAAGGAGGAACAAAGAAUCAGAAGAUGCCCAUGAAAAGCUUUUGAUUUCAAAACCAGCAUUGUUGUGAUUUAAUGGAAAGCUGCUACAAGGAGAAAAAUGUGACCAACCAUAGGAAAUGCAGUGCCUCCAUCCACUUAACUGCACAAGGAGGAAGAGAAUUUGCUAAGAAUAGGGCCUCAUAUUUUUCUGAUCUGACAAUCAAGCAUAUUUUAUUCAUG